AACCGCCGGAUGCGGACCCGCAUGUCCGGUGGUGUGAGAGGAGGGGGCUAGCCGCCCCCUCCUACUCGUUU
rnacentral:misc_RNA from 1 species